rnacentral:rRNA from 1 species
UACGUAGGUGGCAAGCGUUGUCCGGAUUUAUUGGGUUUAAAGGGUGCGUAGGCGGCCCUGUAAGUCAGUGCUGAAAUAUCCCGGCUUAACCGGGAGGGUGGCAUUGAUACUGCGGGCUAGAGUACAGAUGAGGUAGGCGGAAUUGACGGUGUAGCGGUGAAAUGCUUAGAUAUCGUCAAGAACACCUAUAGCGAAGGCAGCUUACUAGGCUGUAACUGACGCUGAGGCACGAAAGCGUGGGGAGCAAAAGGG